rnacentral:sRNA from 19 species
AGGUCGUAGCAGGCUUUUUGCUGUUUGUCUUGCUAGUUGCUUCCUAAAGGAGAACGAUGUCUAAGGAUCAAGCGAUCG